rnacentral:rRNA from 1 species
CGUAGGGUGCGAGCGUUAAUCGGAAUUACUGGGCGUAAAGUGUGCGCAGGCGGCCAUGCAAGUCGAGUGUGAAAGCCCCGGGCUUAACUUGGGAAUUGCGCUCGAAACUACGUGGCUGGAGUGUGGCAGAGGAAGGUGGAAUUCCACGUGUAGCGGUGAAAUGCGUAGAGAUGUGGAGGGACACCAAUGGCGAAGGCAGCCUUCUGGGCCAACACUGACGCUCAUGCACGAAAGCGUGGGGAGCAAACAGGAUUAGAUACCCUGGUAGUCCACGCCCUAAACGAUGACGACUAGUUGUUGGAGGAGUUAAAUCCUUUAGUAACGCAGCUAACGCGCGAAGUCGUCCGCCUGGGGAGUACGGUCGCAAGAUUA